rnacentral:siRNA from 1 species
CCUAAAAGAGUAAGAAAAGACA